GAUGAACGCUAGCGGCAGGCUUAAUACAUGCAAGUCGAGGGGCAGCGGGGUAGCAAUACCGCCGGCGACCGGCAAACGGGUGCGGAACACGUACAGAACCUUCCUUUAAGCGGGGGAGUAGCCCACUAGAAAUGUGGAUUAAUACCCCACUAGUAAUAUUGACUGGCAUCAGUUGGUAUUUAAAGUAUUUAUUCACUUAAAGAAUGGCUGUGCGGCUGAUUAGGUAGUUGGUGCGGGUAACGGCCCACCAAGCCAGCGAUCAGUAACUGGUGUGAGAGCACGACCAGUCACACGGGCACUGAGACACGGGCCCGACUCCUACGGGAGGCAGCAGUAAGGAAUAUUGGUCAAUGGACGCAAGUCUGAACCAGCCAUGCCGCGUGAAGGAUGAAGGCCCUCUGGGGUUGUAAACUUC
rnacentral:rRNA from 1 species